CGCGAAUGGCUCAUUAAAUCAGCUAUGGUUCCUUAGAUCGUACAUCCUACAUGGAUAACUGUAGUAAUUCUAGAGCUAAUACAUGCAACUAUGCCCUGACCUGCAAAGGAACGGGUGCAUUUAUUAGAACAGAACCAACCGGUAGAGGCUUCGGUCGCUGCCGUUGCAUUCUGUGAUGACUCUGGAUAACUUUACUGAUCGCAGUCGGCCUUGUGUCGGCGACGGCUCUUUCAAAUGUCUGCCCUAUCAAUUUUCGAUGGUAGGUGAAC
rnacentral:rRNA from 1 species